ACGUUUUUGUUGUUGCUGGCUUGUGGGUGUCGAAGCAGUGUCGCGGCGCAAUGUUGGAAGUGGUUUCUGGGUAAACAAAAUUCGUUGAUAAGAUAUUCGCAAGAAGUAAAUCGCGAGUCGCGCGGCGUAAUUACCGUUGGCAAGCCAAAAAACCGUUUAGCAUCGAUUGCGGUUUAAAACCAGGCUCCGAUUCCUGUGAGCCCGCGUGUGUGUGUGUGUGCGUUUGUGCCAACGGUGUGUAUGUGUUUUGAGCCCAUAAGCGUAGCCCGAAAAAAUAAGUUUUCCUGUUACCAUAUUUUUACCAAACGCCAAAAGGGCGCAGCAUCUUCGCUCUUUAUCUCUCCGCUGUAUCGCUAUCCCGUUCGCUAACGCCAGUUUUGCAACUCCGUUUACCGUUUAUUGUGUGUAAACAGCAGGUGAAAAUAAAACGCGAUAAGUCGGGAGAAAUAUAAGAAAGAAGGAGGAGAAAGAGCAGCACGAAGAAGAAGCAACUCCGCGCAGCCCAACAAAAAGUGACGCAUUAAAGAGGUUGCUAAUUACAAAAGGCGACUUUCCACCACAUAGUAUCCAGGAAUGGAGCUGGAGCCGCGAGUGGCCAUACUGCAGGACCUGCGCCUGCAGACCUUCGACUCCAUUCGAUUCGCCUCCUACCGCACCGCCUCCAAGCUGCGUUACAUACAGAAGUCCACCAAUCUGCAUUUGGUGGACAUAUGGAAUGUGAUCGAGGCCUUCCGCGAGAAUGGGCUGAACACGCUAGAACCGCAGAGCGAGGUGAGCGUAGCCAGGCUGGAAACCCUGGUCUCCUCCCUCUACCACAACCUCAACAAGCGCCUGCCCACCGCUCAGCAGGUGCCCGUGGACUCGAAGGCGGGUCUGCUGCUCAACUGGCUGUUGGCUGCGUACACAAGUGAUAACUCGGGCAAGAUUCGCGUGUUUUCCAUCAAAGUGGCCCUGGCCACCAUGUGCUCUGGCAAACUGGUGGACAAACUAAGAUACAUAUUCUCGCAGAUCUCGGAUGGCGCUGGACAGCUGGUGGCCUGGAAGCUGGGCGAGUUCCUGCGCGAAGUGCUGGCCCUGCCGGCGGCCGUGUACGAGUCGCCCACAUUCCACUACAAGGAGGGGCUCGAGGAGGAGAUCUUCCCGGCCGAGAACAAGGUGACGGUGAACGACUUUAUGGCCACGCUGAUGUCCGAGCCGGGGCCGUCCUGCCUCGUCUGGCUGCCGCUGGUGCACCGGCUGGCCACCGUGGAGACCAUUGUGCAUCCGACUGUCUGCUCUGUUUGCCACAAGGAAAACUUCACCGGGUUUCGUUAUCGCUGUCAGCGGUGUCACGCCUACCAGUUGUGUCAGGAGUGCUUCUGGCACGGCAAGACAUCGCUGAACCACCAGAACGAUCACGAGGUCAAGGAGUACUCGAGCUACAAGUCGCCCAGCAAACAGAUCGGUCACUCGCUGCGCAAGAGCUUCCGCUGUGUGCCCGAGAAGACGGUGCAGGUGCUCCCCCGCUUCCCCGACCAGCCGGAGAAGACGCUCAACCUGUCGCACAUCGUGCCGCCCUCGCCGCUGCCCUCGCACAACGGCUUCUCGGACCCCUCGGGCCUCGUACAUGGCCACCACGGCCCCCAUCCGGGUCUUCCGGGCCAGCACGGCCUUUUCGAUCGCUCCAGCACGCUCGACUCGCGGGCCACAGGCCGCAGUCUGGACAGCGCCAGUGGCACUGCCGGCACUACCAUGUCUCGCGUGGCCGCCGCAUCUGCCAACGACGAGGAGCACCGCCUGAUUGCCCGCUAUGCCGCCAGAUUGGCCCAGGAAAACCGAGCGCCAUCCAACUUGCCCGACAAUGCCACACCAAUUGGCACAGAUAACUCCCGAGCCCAACGCGAGCUUAUUGCCCAACUGGAGUCCAAGAACAAGGAGAUAAUGCGCGAGAUAGCGCGCCUGAGGCGUCAGCAGGAGACAGAGCAAAUGGCCCCCGAGAAUCCGGCGCUAAUCAAUGAACUGCGUGCUCUAAGGCAGCGGAAAGGAGAACUAGAGGGCCACCUGGGUGCCCUGCAGGAUUCGCGACGACAGCUAAUGGAGCAACUGGAGGGACUGAUGCGAAUGCUGAAGAACCAGCAGACAGCAUCGCCUCGCUCCACGCCCAACUCGAGUCCUCGUUCCGGAAAAUCCCCACCAAUGCCCGGAGGAGCUGGUAUCCUGGGCACCUCCCCAAUGAGUGCGCUGCACGCCCAGCAGAUGCAGCAACAUCCGAUGGCAGGAGGAGUCAGGGCCAGCCAGCAGCAACUCCUUCAACAGCAACAGCAGCAGCAGGCUCAUGGCCACGGGCCAUUCAGCCAGAGUCAGCUGGAGCAGCUCAACCAGAUUAGCAGCGAUAUGCGCAGCGCCUUCGCCGCCAACGGAAGUGCAACGCCACCGCCAAUGCGCACCACCACUGCCACUGCCACUGCCAAUGUCAGUGCCAUUCCCAGCCUCAAUCCGAUUCCGACUCCGAAUCAGAAUCAGAGUAUGAAUCCGAAUCUGAAUCCCGACGCGGAGCUCAAUGAGGCUGCCGAUCAUCUAACGUCGGCCAUUUCCCACAUGGUCAGCGACCUGAACGCAGGACGGGGAAGGGCUCAUCUGGGUCCCCAGCCGGCGAGCUCCCUGCCGCAGGCUCGCUUCAUCAUGCCACUGGAAUUCCGACACAUCGAGGGUGGCGAGUCCGCGGACUCGAGUCAGUGCGAGUGCAACGAUUGCGAGUGCGGGGAGUACGAGGAGGUGUUCCGCACCGACGAGGAUCUCGAGUGCGAGGGAGCUGCAGCUCCAUUCGGGGAUCCAUACACCAGGUACCCCGUACUGGGUACUGGCGUUCAGGAGGAGGACCACUUUGAUUACACCUUCGGGCAGGGCGAGGAGCUGUCCCAGGUGAACCGUAUCCUGGGCUACCGCAACCACCCGGAGCUGUUCAUCGACGAUGACCAGGCCGGUUUCCCGGCACUGCACGAGAUCGGUGAGACAAUCGAUGAACUGCAGCUGAUCAUGCACGCUUAUAUCAUGAAGUAUAGUCUGAAUUUAUAAAGUGUUCGUCGUAGGUUAUAUACUCUGCGAUCAGAUUUCGACGAAUCUCAAUCGUAUAACCAAGAGUGGAAUGAAAAGGCAAAUGCGAAUAGCCAAUGGCAGGAACAGUUUGCACAAUGGAGUCUUAAUUCGCAAAAGAACUAAGACGUGGCUACCAGUGGACUGGCUACCGCAGGACUGGGAAUCUCCAGAGGCAGCUGGAUGGAUGAAGACGAAUUCUCGCUUAGCUUUCUACCUUACCUUAACUCAUACGUUGACUUAGAGCAAUUUAUUUAUUGAUUACUUUACUGAGCCGUAGCCUACACUACCUUAAUCAUUAUAAUUUAUACUUUGAGGAUUGGUAUCUACACGGAAACAUUGUAUGUAAACAGAUAUAUGCAUAUAUAUGAUUAUUUUAUUGAAGCAAAAGAUAUGAAUAUAGCUGAUAAAAAAGACUUGCAGUUGCACUGCUCUUCGAAGUCGCAAA